rnacentral:rRNA from 1 species
UCGAUAUUAUUGAGCCUAAAACGUCCGUAGCCGGUCUUGUAAAUCCUUGGGUAAAUCGGCCAGCUUAACUGUCCGAAGUCCGGGGAGACUGCAAGACUUGGGAUCGGGAGAGGUCAGAGGUACUUCUGGGGUAGGGGUAAAAUCCUGUAAUCCUGGAAGGACCACCGGUGGCGAAGGCGUCUGACUAGAACGAAUUCGACGGUGAGGGACGAAGCCCUGGGGCGCAAACGGGAUUAGAUACCCCGGUAGUCCAGGGUGUAAACGCUGCGGGCUUGGUGUUGGGGGUCCUUUGUGGGCGCCCAGUGCCGGAGAGAAGUUGUUAAGCCUGCUGCUUGGGGAGUACGUCCGCAAGGAUGAAACUUAAAGGAAUUGGCGGGGGAGCACCGCAACGGGAGGAGCGUGCGGUUCAAUUGGAUUCAACGCCGGACAACUCACCAGGAGCGACGGUUACAUGAAGGCCAGGUUGAUGACCUUGCCUGAUUUUCCGAGAGGUGGUGCAUGGCCGUCGUCAGUUCGUACCGUAAGGCGUUCUCUUAAGUGAGAUAACGAACGAGACCCUCACCAUUAAUUGCGAGCUCUCUCUCCGGAGGGAGUGCACAUUAGUGGGACCGCUGGCGCUAAGUCAGAGGAAGGAGAGGUCAACGGUAGGUCCGUAUGCCCCGAAUCUCCUGGGCUACACGCGCGCUACAAAGGUUGGGACAAUGGGCUGCGACAUCGAAAGGUGAAGCCAAUCCCGAAACCCAAUCGUAGUUCGGAUUGAGGGUUGUAACUCACCCUCAUGAAGCUGGAUUCCGUAGUAAUCGCUUGUCAACAU